UACGAAGGGGGCUAGCGUUGUUCGGAAUUACUGGGCGUAAAGCGCGCGCAGGCGGUUUCUCAAGUCAGUGGUGAAAGCCCGGAGCUCAACUCCGGAACUGCCAUUGAAACUGUGAAACUUGAGGACGAGAGAGGUGAGUGGAAUUCCCAGUGUAGAGGUGAAAUUCGUAGAUAUUGGGAAGAACACCAGUGGCGAAGGCGACUUACUGGACACAUAUUGACGCUGAGGUGCGAAAGCGUGGGGAGCAAACAGG
rnacentral:rRNA from 1 species